UCCCUGGUGGUCUAGUGGUUAGGAUUUGGCACUUUCACUGCCAUGGCCCAGGUUCAAUCCCUGGUCAGGAAA
rnacentral:tRNA from 1 species